rnacentral:rRNA from 1 species
GACGAACGCUGGCGGCGUGCCUAAUACAUGCAAGUCGAACGAACGCAACCGAUGCUUGCUCCGCUCAAUCUAGCGGCGAACGGGUGAGUAACACGUGGGUAACCUGCCCAUCAGACUGGGAUAACUUCGGGAAACGGGUGCUAAUACCGCCUUAGAUUUUGAACCGCAUGGUUUCAACGUGAAAAAAGGUCCUGCUUUCUCCUAAAGGUGGAUCCGCGCUGCCUUAGCUAGUUGGUCAGGUAACGGCUUACCAAGGCACCGAUGCAUAGCCGACCUGAGAGGGUGAUCGGCCACAUUGGAACUGAGACACGGCCCAAACUCCUACGGGAGGCAGCAGUAGGGAAUCUUCCGCAAUGGACGCAAGUCUGACGGAGCAACGCCGCGUGAGUGAUGAAGGUCUUCGGAUCGUAAAACUCUGUUAUUAGAGAAGAAUAAAUGUUAAAGUAACUGUGAGCGUCUUGACGGUACCUAAGCAGAAAGCCACGGCUAACUACGUG